rnacentral:rRNA from 1 species
CCCUUAGAUGUUCUGGGCCGCACGCGUGCUACACUGAGUAAUUCAAUGGGUAAGGGAACGCUAGAGCAUUACCUAAUCUUGAAAUUUGCUCGUGAUGGGGAUCGACGGUUGCAAUUUUCCGUCGUGAACGAGGAAUACCUUGUAGGUGCAUGUCAUCAUCAUGCGCCGAAUACGUCCCUGCCCUUUGUACACACCGCCCGUCGCUCCUACCGAUUGAGUGAUCCGGUGAGGCUCUGGGACCUGGACGGAAAGAGCGUUUCGCUUGUUCUGUUUGGGAAACUUGGUCGAACCUUAUCAUUUAGAGGAAGGAGAAGUCGUAACA